rnacentral:rRNA from 1 species
CGUAAAGAACCUGCCUCAUAGACUGGGACAACUAUUGGAAACGAUAGCUAAUACCGGAUAACAGCAUUAACUGCAUGGUUGAUGUUCAAAAGUUGGUUUUGCUAACACUAUGAGAUGGCUUUGCGGUGCAUUAGCUAGUUGGUGGGGUAAAGGCCUACCAAGGCGACGAUGCAUAGCCGACCUGAGAGGGUGAUCGGCCACACUGGGACUGAGACACGGCCCAG